UACGUAGGGUGCAAGCGUUAAUCGGAAUUACUGGGCGUAAAGGGCGCGUAGGCGGCACAGUUAGUCAGGCGUGAAAUUCCUGGGCUCAACCUGGGGAUUGCGCUUGAAACGGCUGAGCUUGAGGACGGAAGAGGGUCGUGGAAUUCCCAGUGUAGAGGUGAAAUUCGUAGAUAUUGGGAAGAACACCAGUGGCGAAGGCGGCGACCUGGUCCGUUACUGACGCUGAGGCGCGACAGCGUGGGGAGCAAACAGG
rnacentral:rRNA from 1 species